rnacentral:rRNA from 2 species
AACGCUGGCCGGCGUGCCUAAUACUUGCAAGUCGAACGAAACUUUCUUACACCGAAUGCUUGCAUUUCACCGUAAGAAGUUGAGUGGCGGACGGGUGAGUAACACGUGGGUAACCUGCCUAAAAGAAGGGGAUAACACUUGGAAACAGGUGCUAAUACCGUAUAUCUCUAAGGAUCGCAUGAUUCUUAGAUGAAAGAUGGUUCUGCUAUCGCUUUUAGAUGGACCCGCGGCGUAUUAACUAGUUGGUGGGGUAACGGCCUACCAAGGUGAUGAUACGUAGCCGAACUGAGAGGUUGAUCGGCCACAUUGGGACUGAGACACGGCCCAAACUCCUACGGGAGGCAGCAGUAGGGAAUCUUCCACAAUGGACGCAAGUCUGAUGGAGCAACGCCGCGUGAGUGAAGAAGGUCUUCGGAUCGUAAAACUCUGUUGUUAGAGAAGAACACGAGUGAGAGUAACUGUUCAUUUCGAUGACGGAUCUAACCACGCAAGUC